GUUGCCCCUAGCUCUAAUAGCUAAUAGCUAAUAGCUCUCUUUGCCACACAAACAUGGUUGGCAUUGAUGCGGGGUGCAGAAGUGAAGAGAAAGAGAAGUUUAUUUUCAUUCUUUUGUUCCUCAGCAAGAGGGAUCACCUGGCUACUUUGAGACAGCCUUCGUUCUGAGUGGAAGGGUCCGGCUUUAAACCUCCCAACGUCCAUCUUCAGAGAGCCGACACAGCACUGCACCCGGGGAAGGAAAAGUUCCAUUAAGAAGAUGUCGUCUAGUGGUGGAAUCACUGUCUAAAAUACCUUAAGAAGAGCGGCAACAGCCUCUUGGGUGGCGCAGCGGACAUCUUCGCCGUUGACCGUCAAGAUCUGGUCACCUUGCAUGAGUCGACCGUCUGUUUCCGCCAAACCUCCUUUGACAAUGUCAGAGACAAAGACCCCCGUAUCGUUCCUAUCAGAUAGACAGUUUCAUCUGUGAUUUGAGGACACUUCCUGUAAGGAUUCAACUCUAAUCUAUUCACUGGAAGGAAUGGGCUGCAUAUGACAGAAUAUAAGGUUCUUUGGUGGGGUAUUUCCUUAAGACAUACACAUGUAGACGCCUCAUUGAGCGCUGAAUCAAACGUGAACGUCACCGCCAUAAUGGAUGUGGUAAGCGAGAACAAAGAAGAUGCCUCAUUCAUGUACGGCAUGUAAUUGUACCAACCGGUUUACAGUCCAAACCAGACCCAAAACCUGUAAUACCGUGGAUUCCUGUGGUGAAACCAGCCUCCAAACAUUAAAGAAGUCUUUUCUAUUUAACAAAAUUGAUUGUUGUUAGUUGCUUAGAUAACUUUUUGUAUGCUAUGUCGGCUUCCCAUAAAUAAAGACGAGAAAAAGCAAUAUGAACGUGAUAGUGAAUAUAACUUUAUGGAAUCUACACCAGAUCCUUGUAUCACUUUACAGAGUAGAUCUGCCACAUCCAAUAUGGCGGACACGUUGACGUAUCGCAGCAACGCAACCAAGCUGCUCAGUGAGGCAUCAAUAUAUAUAGUAUGUCUUAUAUAGUAUUUCUAUUUGUUCUACCUAUGAAUAUCACAUAUGCUACAUUGAGCAGUAAUUGUGGUUUUACCUUUGGUCCCGUGAUCUGAGGAACAAAAGGAAAAUUGGAUAUUUUGUUAUGAUUAUUCAACACUUUGGACACCAAGCAGGAUAUAUAUAUUUUUUUUUCAUAAAAAAAAUUGCAUAUUUUCUAAAAUAUCUGACCCGGUUCAAUUGAACUGCUGUUGUCAGACAGAGGACCAUGAAAUAUUACGAGGGUUUGACAUUGUCACAUAUUUACUAGGGAUGUAAAUAUCUUUAUGGUAGACCAUUUGAUACGUGUCUUGGUUGAGAUACAAUUUUAAAACAAUAUAUUUUCUAUUGUCAAUUCAUAAAAUAACGGCUAUUAUUUGACUCAAAAAAUUAUAUAGUGAGAAACACCGCGGUUUUUGCUUGUUUAAGUUGUUUCUUGCGAGUACCGACGUGUCCCACUGUGUUCAACGUUCCUUGAACGCACCACCGAACUUUUACUCUCUCAUGAAGCACGGAUACACUACUAUACUGUUUUUACCCCUUUUUUUCACCUCGUAUUUGGUUCCAAAUGCUAAUACUAUGUGGGAAUGGUAAUAUUUGAAGACUAAUUGAGCUAACGUGCUAAUAUUUGUUCGGUGCACUUGUCUGGAAAAACAAACUACCAACUGUACCGGUGUAUGGUGAGUGUGUAUUCAUUUAGUGCUUUUGCUAUGAUGUUGUUACUGUUUUAGUUUUACAUAAUAAGAUAAAUUACAUCGAUAUAAUGUACGCAUGUUUUGCUGAUGUGUUGAAAACAUUUGCCGGUGACUAGCUAGCAUGCUAGUGUUGCUAUUUGACCCAAUCUCGUCUUCAGUCAUGCUAAGCUACGAUGAAGCAUGAAGCUGUUGCAUGUCGAUUAAUUUAAGGAUUUAUGGCUGAUUCUUAGCGAUUCAGGUGGUUGUGAGAACUUUUUGUAAUAUUUAGCUAGUUAUUGAAUUCAUGAGUCCACUUUAGUCUGAUGUACAGCUAUAGUGUCUAAUUACAGUUGACGUGAUGUGAUGUUAGCAUCACAUCAUCACAUCACCCUGUGACGUUUAUCUGCUUUUGAGACAAAAACUCGUUUCCAGUGUUUGGUUGGGUCCACUACAGUAAUUACAGUAAAUACAUUAAAGCUGAAACAUUGAUACAUUUCAUUAAAACCUGCAUACUGAGCAUACUGGUGACUGCAUUUGGAUGAGGUUACCUCCUCCCAACGAUGCUAAGUCCCAGUCCUUGUCCGGGCUUCUUGUCCAGCUCAACGGUGAACGAGUCCCACAAGUCCUCCUCUUUGUACUGGGCCUCGUCCCUGUACACACUCAGCCGGACCCUUUGUGGGGUCUGGCGCAGCACGUUGAUGGCGUCGUCAUGGCUCGCCGCGCGAAGGUCGAUGCCGUUGACCUGCAAUAUGAGAGAGCACGCCGUCACGUCACAUAAAACUAAACAUUUCCCUCUAGGAAAGACAACUGCGUGAUUAAAAACCAAGGUUCAGGCCCAUUUAGUCACAAGGGUGUGUGUAUUGCCUGACCUUCACCCCUGAUAACCAAUCCUUAUAUUAUUGGAUACUAUAUCUUGGAAUCAUGGAAGCACACCUCUAGGAUUUGGUCUCCGGCCCAAAGCCUGCCGUCCUUGGAGGCUGCACCUUCUUCAUACACCUCAUGGAUGAUAAUGGCCCCCUGUUGCCAGGAAGAGUGAAAUAAGUCAGCAUAGUUAGCAUUUAUUUGGAGGAAACACAUUACACAAUGUGGGUAGGAGCACACAUGGCAAAUAAUAAAAGAAGGUGCAGGAAAUUGUAAAUGUCAGAAACUAGGUCAGCGGUUGUUUCGCUUACCAGCAGGGUGUCGCAUCCCCCUACGAUGCUGAGACCCAAGCCUGUCCGCCCUUUGGAAAUGUCGAUGGUGGUUUCGCAGCCUGGGAUGAUGGGGCAUGUUGCUGGGUCAGAGGCGAGUGUAGAAGGAGUUGAUGAACGGCUUUGACCUUAAAAAAAAAACAGUGUUAGUGUAUUUGUCAUUUAAUUAUCACACUUAAGAAGGAAAGGUAACUUACCUGUGGUUGUUUCCAGUUGACAAAGGUUGACGCUGGAUAGGCUGGAGUGGCCUUCUUCUGGGUUGUUUUGAAUCGAUGAGUGGCUAUGACCUUA